rnacentral:rRNA from 1 species
UACGGGGGGGGCAAGCGUUGUUCGGAAUUACUGGGCGUAAAGGGUUCGUAGGUGGCUUGCUAAGUCAGACGUGAAAUCCCUCAGCUUAACUGGGGAACUGCGUCUGAUACUGGCGAGCUUGAGUGCAGGAGAGGAACGCAGAAUUCCAGGUGUAGCGGUGAAAUGCGUAGAUAUCUGGAGGAAUACCGGUGGCGAAGGCGGCGUUCUGGACUGCAACUGACGCUGAUGAACGAAAGCCAGGGGAGCAAACGGG